rnacentral:lncRNA from 1 species
CUCUUUGACCAGGCUAGAGCGCCAGCGCUCCUCUGACCCGGCACACUUUGGCAAAGUUGCAGUGGCCUGUUUGCUUAGGCACUGAAGUGGAUGACCCAAGUUAGGAUGACAACUUGCAGAGAACGCGGAUGAGACCUUCAGUUUGUGCCCACACUCAUUUGCAGCAACCCUAACAGAGAUUGCGAAGAUUUUCAAAGUGGGGCACCUCGAUUUCUCGAAUCUGUGGUGUGGCGAAUAUCCGUGUUCCUCCUGCUUAACUAGCCUGUUUGAAGGCACAGUUCAUUCUCGAGCAAUUCGUCACCUCCUGGGGGUCUUCUCUUCCCGUCUACAGGAGAGUGUGACUUCAGAAAGAACUUCGGAUUGGCCAAGGCAGGUCUGAUUCUAUUUAUUCUAAAGACAGAGUUGGAGAUGGGCUACCAUUGGUGUUGAUUGAGAUGACAAGCAGUCACCUGAGCCCAUACAGCUGUGGGAGAAAGUGCUUGCUGCCAAGCUUGAUGACCUAAAUUGAAUACCUGGAACCUACACGACAGAAAGAGAGAGCUGACUGCUGAAAGAUGUCCUCAGAUCUUCACAUGUGCACAGUGGCACCUAUCCAACCAUGCACAUAGUAUAUUAAAAAUUAUUUUUUAAAAAAU